rnacentral:rRNA from 1 species
AUUGAACGCUGGCGGAACGCUUUACACAUGCAAGUCGAACGGCAGCACGGACUUCGGUCUGGUGGCGAGUGGCGAACGGGUGAGUAAUGUAUCGGAACGUGCCCAGUCGUGGGGGAUAACGUAGUGAAAAUUACGCUAAUACCGCAUACGAUCUAUGGAUGAAAGCGGGGGAUCGCAAGACCUCGCGCGAUUGGAGCGGCCGAUAUCAGAUUAGGUAGUUGGUGGGGUAAAGGCCCACCAAGCCAACGAUCUGUAGCUGGUCUGAGAGGAAGAUCAGCAACACUGGAACGGAGAUACGGUCCAGACUCCUCAGGGAGGCAGCAGUGGGGAAUUUUGGACAAUGGGCGAAAGCCUUAUCCAGCCCUUCCGCGUGCAGGAUGAAGGCCCUGGUGUUGUAAACUGCUUUUGUACAGAACGAAAAGGUUUCUACUAAUACUAGGAGCUCAUGACGGUACUGUAAGAAUAAGCACCGGCUAACUACGUGCCAGCAGCCGCGGUAA